rnacentral:rRNA from 1 species
GAUGAACGCUGGCGGCGUGCUUAACACAUGCAAGUCGAACGAGAAGUGGAGACGGAAACCUUCGGGCGGAAGACUUUACUUCGAGUGGCGGACGGGUGAGUAACGCGUGGGUAACCUGCCUCAUACAGGGGGAUAACAGUUGGAAACGACUGUUAAUACCGCAUAAGACCACAGCAUCGCAUGGUGCGGGGGUAAAAACUCCGGUGGUAUGAGAUGGACCCGCGUUCGAUUAGCCAGUUGGCGGGGUAACGGCCCACCAAAGCGACGAUCGAUAGCCGAUCUGAGAGGAUGACCGGCCACAUUGGGACUGAGACGCGGCCCAAACUCCUACGGGAGGCAGCAGUGGGGAAUAUUGCACAAGGGGGGAAACCCUGAUGCAGCGACGCCGCGUGAGUGAAGAAGUAUUUCGGUAUGUAAAGCUCUAUCAGCAGGGAAGAAAAUGACAGUACCUGAGUAAGAAGCCCCGGCUAACUACGUG